CAGUGGUAUUCAACCUGGGGUACGCGUACUCCCGGGGGUACGUGAAAUUUAAAAAAAAAAAUUUUUUUUUUUAAAUUUCACGUACCCCCGGGAGUACGCGUACCCCAGGUUGAAUACCACUGC
rnacentral:pre_miRNA from 1 species